CGCAGCAAGCCCAGGCGGCGGUGGAAAGGUGAUGGGGUAUCUGGAUUCCAUAGGUUUUUCCUUUUCCCCUUGCUAGGCUGGAGGACACACCUAAACAUGUGGAAUCCCAAUGCCGGGCAGCCAGGGCCAAAUCCAUAUCCCCCCAAUAUUGGGUGCCCUGGAGGUUCCAAUCCUGCCCACCCACCACCUAUUAAUCCACCCUUUCCCCCAGGCCCCUGUCCUCCUCCCCCAGGAGCUCCCCAUGGCAAUCCAGCUUUCCCC
rnacentral:lncRNA from 1 species